GCUGCUUGCCUCUGAGCUUUUUUCUUUCCUUUUCUGAUUUGGUGGCUUGGCAAAAACAAUUUCAAUAUUUUCUCCCUCCAAGUCUUUACCAUUCAUUUCUUCCAUAGCCUUGACAGCACCAUCUCACUCACCAAAAUGAAUGAAUGGAUAAUCUUUUAACUUCUUCACUCAUUCCAGUUUCCCAAACUGACUAAAUGCCUUUUCUAAAAUCUCUUCCGUUACAGUAUUGGCAAGGUUGCGUACAAACAGCACUUUUACCUUUGCCAUAACCUCAGGAUCAGGAUCUUCCAUAGGAUCAGCCCAUUCAACAGUUCCAACAUUCCCCCAGACCUUGACUUUACCACUCAUUAACCUACGCCUUGCCUGGGCAGCUGUUUUGUGAUCUUCAUAUUCAAGAAAGCAAAAGCCUGUUUUUUUUCUUGUCAUCCGGUUGGUGGUAUAAAAUGACGUCUGUAAGACCCUCUGUUACUUUUGCUAAAUUCUUCAAGAAUCUGUUCCUUGGUUUUAACUCUUAGGAAUAGAGCCCACAAAAAGCCUAUUGUUGGCAACUGAGAUGCAGACACCAAUGUGUUUUCCAGAACGAAUUUCAUGAUUAUUAUACAGUUUUAACAGCCUCCCGAGCUGCUUUUGUACAAAAAGUGACAAACACAUAACCUCUAUUGAGACCAGUGAGUGGAUCCAUCAUUAGACGAAGAUCCCAUAUAGGACCAGCUUUCUCAAAUAAUGGAACAAGUUCAUCCUCAAAUAGAUCUCUUGGGAUCUUUCCCACAAAUAUCUCAGUGCCAACAGAAGGCUGCUGACCUGAAUAAACGGAAUCUGGAGGUGGUCCUCCAUAUUUCCUCUGUCCAGUGGUCACAUCAAGUGUGUAGCCUGCUCUUUCCAAGAGUGCCUUAAUUUUUGCCUCAUCUGGUCCUUUACUAGAAUCUGCUACUUUGGUCCCUUGUUUUUCUCUCUGCCUAUAAGGUUUCAUGACUCCACAUAAAAAGGCACUUUUGUUCUGAACACGAGAGAGAUCACUGUCUUUAACUGUUGAAGAACUGCCAAUGCACCGUCUUCAUUGAAUUCUUUUAAAGCUUCAAUAGCUCUUUCAUCUAAAUGACUAUGUGCAACUAAUCUCCCCGUUGGACUGAGGGGGAGGAAUCCUGUCCGAUGGUACCAGGUUGCAAGAAAGGCGUGCUCGCUGCUCCCUGUGUCUGGC
rnacentral:lncRNA from 1 species